rnacentral:rRNA from 1 species
GACGAACGCUGGCGGCGUGCUUAACACAUGCAAGUCGAACGGAAAGGCCCUGCUUUUGUGGGGUGCUCGAGUGGCGAACGGGUGAGUAACACGUGAGUAACCUGCCCUUGACUUUGGGAUAACUUCAGGAAACUGGGGCUAAUACCGGAUAGGAGCUCCUGCUGCAUGGUGGGGGUUGGAAAGUUUCGGCGGUUGGGGAUGGACUCGCGGCUUAUCAGCUUGUUGGUGGGGUAGUGGCUUACCAAGGCUUUGACGGGUAGCCGGCCUGAGAGGGUGACCGGCCACAUUGGGACUGAGAUACGGCCCAGACUCCUACGGGAGGCAGCAGGGGGGAAUAUUGCACAAUGGGCGGAAGCGUGAUGCAGCAACGCCGCGUGCGGGAUGACGGCCUUCGGGUUGUAAACCGCUUUCGCCUGUGACGAAGCGUGAGUGACGGUAAUGGGUAAAGAAGCACCGGCUAACUACGUG